AGGAAUUGUGGCGGCGGAAGAGCUUCAGCUAUUGAUAAGCCUAAUCAUGUAUUGACACCAGAGGAGGACGAGAAUCAGUGUCAGAAAGCAGGCUAUGGUCAGGUCCUGCAUGAGCCCUUUCUGAAAUUCUUAAAGCAUGAAGAAGGAGAUGAAUCGGAGGUUUCUCAGGAGACAGAGAGACUCGCCGUGGAGUAUUGCGAUCCCAAACCAGGGAUGAUGAUGAAGAUGGUAUUUAAGUUGUGUAGUUUGCAAGGCAAGGCAUGCCUGUGGUGGAGAUAGGACAAUGAUCUUUGCAGAUGUUUUAUGGAGGACGUUGAGUGGAAGGCCUUUGCUUUCUUCUAGGCGUUACUUUAGGAGAAUUGCUUGGCAUCAAGUGAGGCAGAACAAGCAGCUUAAUGAGCCCACUGACGUUGAGAUAACUGAGUGGAAUAUCUCUCAUCAGAAUUGAGG